rnacentral:rRNA from 1 species
AACGAACGCUGGCGGCAUGCCUAACACAUGCAAGUCGAACGAGACCUUCGGGUCUAGUGGCGCACGGGUGCGUAACGCGUGGGAACCUGCCCUUAGGUUCGGAAUAACUCCCCGAAAGGGGUGCUAAUACCGGAUAAUGUCUUCGGACCAAAGAUUUAUCGCCUUUGGAUGGGCCCGCGUUGGAUUAGCUAGUUGGUAGGGUAAAAGCCUACCAAGGCGACGAUCCAUAGCUGGUCUGAGAGGAUGAUCAGCCACACUGGGACUGAGACACGGCCCAGACUCCUACGGGAGGGAGCAGUGGGGAAUAUUGGACAAGGGGCGAAAGCCUGAUCCAGCAAUGCCGCGUGAGUGAUGAAGGCCUUAGGGUUGUAAAGCUCUUUUACCCGGGAUAAUAAUGACAGUACCGGGAGAAUAAGCUCCGGCUAACUCCGUG